UCAAGUGAAUAAGCGUGCGUGGUGGAUGCCUUGGCAGCCAGAGGCGAUGAAGGACGCGGUAGGCAGCGAAAUUCCUCGGGGAGCCGUCAAACAGGCUUUGAUCCGGGGGUGUCCGAAUGGGGAAACCCACCCGAUUUAUCGGGUAUCACACACUGAAUCCAUAGGUGUGUGAAGCGAACGCAGGGAACUGAAACAUCUAAGUACCUGCAGGAAAAGAAAUCAAUUGAGAUUCCCUCAGUAGCGGCGAGCGAACGGGGAAUAGCCGAUGAAUGUUGUUGUAGUGGAACAGGUUGGAAAGCCUGGCGAGAGAGGGUGAUAGCCCCGUACACGAAACAGCAGCGUUCACACAUCAAGUAGGUCGGGACACGUGGUAUCUUGACUGAAGACGGGGGGACCAUCCUCCAAGGCUAAAUACUCCUGGCUGACCGAUAGUGAACCAGUACCGUGAGGGAAAGGCGAAAAGAACCCCGGAGAGGGGAGUGAAAUAGAACCUGAAACCGCGCACGUACAAGCAGUAGGAGCCUCGCAAGGGGUGACUGCGUACCUUUUGUAUAAUGGGUCAGCGAGUUAUUGUUGCUAGCAAGGUUAACCGUAUAGGGGAGCCGUAGGGAAACCGAGUCUUAAUAGGGCGUUUAGUUGGUAGCAAUAGACCCGAAACCAGUCGAUCUAUCCAUGAGCAGGUUGAAGGUGCCGUAACAGGCACUGGAGGACCGAACCGUAAUCUGUUGAAAAAGAUUCGGAUGACUUGUGGAUCGGAGUGAAAGGCUAAUCAAGGCUGGAGAUAGCUGGUUCUCCUCGAAAGCUAUUUAGGUAGCGCCUCGCGAGUGUCCACCGGGGGUAGAGCACUGUUUGGGCUAGGGGGUCAUCCCGACUUACCAACCCCAUGCAAACUCCGAAUACCGGUGAGAUGAAUCGCGGGAGACACACGGCGGGUGCUAACGUCCGUCGUGAAAAGGGCAACAACCCAGACCGUCAGCUAAGGUCCCCAAUACCAGUUAAGUGGGAAACGAUGUGGGAAGGCACAGACAGCUAGGAGGUUGGCUUAGAAGCAGCCAUCCUUUAAAGAAAGCGUAAUAGCUCACUAGUCGAGUCGGCCUGCGCGUAAGAUAUAACGGGGCUCAAACUGGUAACCGAAGCUACGGGUGUGUCGCAAGACACGCGGUAGAGGAGCGUUCUGUAAGCCGUUGAAGCUGCAUUGUAAAGUGUGGUGGAGGUAUCAGAAGUGCGAAUGCUGACAUGAGUAACGAUAAAGGGGGUGAAAGACCCCCUCGCCGAAAGAUCAAGGUUUCCUGUCCAACGUUAAUCGGGACAGGGUGAGUCGGCCCCUAAGGUGAGGCGGAAACGCGUAGUCGAUGGGAAACAGGUUAACAUUCCUGUACCGGCUUUUACUGCGAUGGAGUGACGGAGAAGGCUAGGCGAGCAUGGCGUUGGUUGUCCAUGUUCAAGCGAGUAGGGAGGGGUCUUAGGCAAAUCCGGGAUCCCAUAUUCUGAGACGUGAUGACGAGCUGACAUUUAUGCCGGCGAAGUCGUUGAUGCCAAACUUCCAGGAAAAGCUUCUAAGCUUCAGGUAAAAGACGACCGUACUGUAAACCGACACAGGUGAUCUGGUAGAGAAUACCAAGGCGCUUGAGAGAACUUGGGUGAAGGAACUAGGCAAAAUGGUACCGUAACUUCGGGAGAAGGUACGCUCCCUCGUGUGAAGUAUUUACUACGUAAGCAUGGGGGAGUCGAAGAAACCAGGUAGCUGCAACUGUUUAUUAAAAACACAGCACUCUGCAAACACGUAAGUGGACGUAUAGGGUGUGACGCCUGCCCGGUGCCGGAAGGUUAAUUGAUGGGGUCAGCGCAAGCGAAGCUCUUGAUCGAAGCCCCGGUAAACGGCGGCCGUAACUAUAACGGUCCUAAGGUAGCGAAAUUCCUUGUCGGGUAAGUUCCGACCUGCACGAAUGGCGUAAUGAUGGCUACACUGUCUCCACCCAAGACUCAGUGAAAUUGAAAUCGCUGUUAAGAUGCAGUGUACCCGCGGCUAGACGGAAAGACCCCGUGAACCUUUACUAUAGCUUCACAUUGGACUUUGAUAUUACUUGUGUAGGAUAGCUGGGAGGCUUUGAAGCAUGAUCGCCAGAUUGUGUGGAGCCGUCCUUGAAAUACCAGCCUGGUGAUGUCGGGGUUCUAACUCUGACCCGUAAUCCGGGUUGAGGACAAUGUGUGGUGGGUAGUUUGACUGGGGCGGUCUCCUCCCAAAGAGUAACGGAGGAGCACGAAGGUACGCUAAUGACGGUCGGAAAUCGUCAGGUUUGUGCAUAGGCAUAAGCGUGCUUGACUGCGAGAGUGACAACUCGAGCAGGUGCGAAAGCAGGUCUAAGUGAUCCGGUGGUUCUGAAUGGAAGGGCCAUCGCUCAACGGAUAAAAGGUACUCCGGGGAUAACAGGCUGAUACCGCCCAAGAGUUCACAUCGACGGCGGUGUUUGGCACCUCGAUGUCGGCUCAUCACAUCCUGGGGCUGAAGCCGGUCCCAAGGGUAUGGCUGUUCGCCAUUUAAAGUGGUACGCGAGCUGGGUUUAGAACGUCGUGAGACAGU
rnacentral:rRNA from 1 species